ACAGCACCCAGAGACUCACCAGCCAGGUCCCUGAGCCUCUUUUGUAGGAGGAUCAGUGUUAGAGGGCAGCUUCUCCUCCACCACAUCUCAGCUCACCCAGUCCAUCCUCCCUUUACAGGCUACCUGUGAGACAUGCUGCUCCAGGCUCAGCCCCUGCCUGGUUCCUCAGUCUGUAGGAAGGUUUGGCAUCUUAUCAAGGUGUUUGGAUGCCAGUGAGACAAAGUAAACAGUGCUGAAGUACUGAAGAAAAUUUAAAUGUGAACUCUCUGUAUGUCACCUGCCACUUAAUAGAGAUGGGAAGAAGAGCUGGUUUCCACGGGGCUGAGGAGAAAAGACCCACAGUGAAUAAUGAUUGAAUACAAUGAAAACCUGAAUUCACAACACUUUCUUCCCACCUGCAGCAGCGGGUGCAGCCACACUGCAGCAGUUAAAAAUCACCUUUCAGACACCUCCUUAUUCCCAAGGCUAUAAAAUACCAUGGGGUGGCAGAGGAAAGAUUAUCCAAUUCAGA